UGGGGAAUUUUCCGCAAUGGGCGAAAGCCUGACGGAGCAAUACCGCGUGAGGGAGGAAGGCUCUUGGGUUGUAAACCUCUUUUCUCAGGGAAGAAUCCUGACGGUACCUGAGGAAUCAGCAUCGGCUAACUCCGUGCCAGCAGCCGCGGUAAGACGGAGGGGGCAAGCGUUGUCCGGACUCACUGGGCGUAAAGGGCGUGCAGGCGGCUCUGUGCGUCGGCGCUGAAAGCGCCCGGCUUAACCGGGCGAGGUGCGUCGAUACGAUAGAGCUUGAGGCAAGGAGAGGCUAGCGGAAUUCCGGGUGUAGUGGUGAAAUGCGUAGAGAUCCGGAGGAACGCCCGUGGCGUAAGCGGCUAGCUAGUCUUGACCUGACGCUGAGGCGCGAAAGCGUGGGGAGCGAACCGGAUUAGAUACCCCCGUAGUCC
rnacentral:rRNA from 1 species